GACGAACGCUGGCGGCGUGCCUAAUACAUGCAAGUCGAACGCUUUUUCUUUCACCGGAGCUUGCUCCACCGAAAGAAAAAGAGUGGCGAACGGGUGAGUAACACGUGGGUAACCUGCCCAUCAGAAGGGGAUAACACUUGGAAACAGGUGCUAAUACCGUAUAACACUAUUUUCCGCAUGGAAGAAAGUUGAAAGGCGCUUUUGCGUCACUGAUGGAUGGACCCGGGGUGCAUUAGCUAGUUGGUGAGGUAACGGCUCACCAAGGCAACGAUGCAUAGCCGACCUGAGAGGGUGAUCGGCCACACUGGGACUGAGACACGGCCCAGAAUCCUACGGGAGGCAGCAGUAGGGAAUCUUCGGCAAUGGACGAAAGUCUGACCGAGCAACGCCGCGUGAGUGAAGAAGGUUUUCGGAUCGUAAAACUCUGUUGUUAGAGAAGAACAAGGAUGAGAGUAGAACGUUCAUCCCUUGACGGUAUCUAACCAGAAAGCCACGGCUAACUACGUGCCAGCCGCCGCAGUAA
rnacentral:rRNA from 1 species